AUGUUAACAUGAUCACCUUAUUCUGUGGGGAACAAAGGAGUGAGCUCUGUACAAACCAUUUAGAGUUGAAAUCAUGAAGGAAAUCCUCUCUGAUAGCUUCUACAAGAUAUAAAGAAUUGGAACUCACAAGGACUGGGGUGUUUUGAUUUUGUUACAGAUUUGAUGUGCAAUAAGAAUGUUAUUAACUGCAAAUACUAUUCUUCUAACGUAGCAGUUUUACAGAAUACAGUCUUAGAUUCCAUUUUAAUUAUGUUCCUAUGACGGAAGUCUCUGACACAACUGAU